rnacentral:rRNA from 1 species
CACGUAGGCCCCAAGCGUUGUCCGGAUUUAUUGGGCGUAAAGAGCUCGUAGGCGGUUCAGUAAGUCAGGUGUGAAAUCUUUGGGCUUAACCCAAAGCGUGCACUUGAUACUGCUGUGCCUUGAGUUCGGUAGGGGAGUGGGGAAUUCCUAGUGUAGCGGUGAAAUGCGCAGAUAUUAGGAGGAACACCGGUGGCGAAGGCGCCACUCUGGGCCGAAACUGACGCUGAGGAGCGAAAGCGUGGGUAGCAAACAGG